CAGUAGCCGCGGUAAUACGUAGGUGGCAAGCGUUGCCCGGAAUUAUUGGGCGUAAAGCGCGCGCAGGUGGUUUAAUAAGUCUGAUGUGAAAGCCCACGGCUCAACCGUGGAGGGUCAUUGGAAACUGUUAAACUUGAGUGCAGGAGAGAAAAGUGGAAUUCCUAGUGUAGCGGUGAAAUGCGUAGAGAUUAGGAGGAACACCAGUGGCGAAGGCGGCUUUUUGGCCUGUAACUGACACUGAGGCGCGAAAGCGUGGGGAGCAAACAGGAUUAGAUACCCCCGUAGUCCCUGUCUCUUAUAC
rnacentral:rRNA from 1 species